UAAUUGAAGAGUUUGAUCAUGGCUCAGAUUGAACGCUGGCGGCAGGCCUAACACAUGCAAGUCGAGCGGUAACAGGGGAAGCUUGCUUCUCGCUGACGAGCGGCGGACGGGUGAGUAAUGUAUGGGGAUCUGCCCGAUAGAGGGGGAUAACUACUGGAAACGGUAGCUAAUACCGCAUAAUCUCUCAGGAGCAAAGCAGGGGAACUUCGGUCCUUGCGCUAUCGGAUGAACCCAUAUGGGAUUAGCUAGUAGGUGAGGUAAUGGCUCACCUAGGCGACGAUCCCUAGCUGGUCUGA
rnacentral:rRNA from 1 species